GACCUUUUGUAGUUGGUAAGUGUGAUGAUUGGGUUUUCGUGCUUAUGUGUGAGAUGUGUCUCUCUCCGAAAAAAAAAAAAGUUACAACGUUGGCACAUUACCCAUCUGAUG
ensembl:snoRNA